AUCGUUAGUUGAUGCUGGAGAUUAACUAACUCCUUCAAGAAGUGGGAGGACUCAUGGAUCGAAUCAGAAAGCUAGGAGAGAAGAUAAAUGAGAUUAAGGCUCACAUUGAGGAAAUUGAAAAGGAAAGGAUCCAAACUCUUAUGAGGGAGGAACAAGACAUGUAUCAAACAUGGAGGACAAAUGUGUAGAAUUUGAAAGAUUUAAAAUGAUAGGCCCAAUACAAGCCCAUUCUCAAUUUUCUAAAAUCAUGGACCUAGAACCUUACAAGGAAAAGGUCAAAGG
rnacentral:misc_RNA from 1 species